UAGCGGAGCGUGUGGUUUAAUUCGAUAUUACACGGAGAACCUUACCAGGGUUUGACAUGCAGGUGGUAGUGAAGCGAAAGCGGAACGACUCUUCGGAGAGCCUGCACAGGUGCUGCAUGGCUGCCGUCAGCUCGUGUCGUGAGAUGUUCGGUUAAGUCCGCUAACGAGCGCAACCCCUGCCGUGUGUUACAAGUGUCACACGGGACUGCCGGUCUUAAGCCGGAGGAAGGUGGGGAUGACGUCAAGUCAGCAUGGCCUUUAUAUCCUGGGCUACACACACGCUACAAUGGGUGGUACAACAGGUUGCGAAACCGCGAGGUGGAGCCAAUCCUCAAAGCCAUCCUCAGUUCAGAUUGUAGGCUGCAACUCGCCUGCAUGAAGAUGGAGUUGCUAGUAACCGCAUAA
rnacentral:rRNA from 1 species